rnacentral:rRNA from 1 species
UACAGAGGAGCCAAGCGUUGUCCGGAUUGACUGGGCGUAAAGCGCACGCAGGCGGAUGCGCGCGUGGGGUGUGAAAUCUGGCCGCUUAACGGCCAGGCGCCAUCCCAUACGGCGCGUCUGGAGUGAUGCAGAGGUCGGUGGAAUUGCCGGUGUAGUGGUGAAAUGCGUAGAGAUCGGCAGGAACACCCAGGGGGAAACCAGCCGACUGGGCAUCUACUGACGCUGAGGUGCGAAAGCGUGGGGAGCAAACAGG